rnacentral:siRNA from 1 species
UAUGGUAUGGUGCUUAGGUUACU